rnacentral:lncRNA from 1 species
UUUUUGUGACGCCCUCGAUUCAAUUGUACACUAAUCAUACACGCAAAUGUGUACGAUCAAGAUCAAGGACUCACGAGAAGAUAUAUCACAACACAACUCUAGACACAAAUUAAAAUAAUACAAGCUUUAUAUUACAAGCUAGGGGCCUCGAGGGCUUGAAUACAUAAGCUCGAAUACAAAAGAGUCAGCGGAAGCAACAAUAUCUGAGUACAUACAUGAGUUAGACAAGUUUGCCUUAAGAAGGCUAGCACAAAAGUAGCAACGAUCGAAAAGGCAAGGCCUCCUGCCUCGGAGCCUCCUAACUACUCCUGGUCGUCGGCGGUCUCCAAGUAGUAGUAGGCAUCGACAGUGGCAUCUAGCUCCUUGGCUCCGACAUCUGGUUGUAUCAACCAGAAAGAAGAAGAAAGGCGGAAAAGGGGGAGCAAAGCAACAGUGAGUACUCAUCCAAAGUACUCGCAAGCAAGGAUCUACACUACAUAUGCAACAUUAUCAAAGGAAGGCUGUAUAUGUGGACUGGGCUGCAGAAAUGCCAGAAUAGAGGGGAGAGCCUAGUCCUAUCGAAGACUAGCAUCUUCUGGAAACCACCAUCUUGCAGCAACAGGAGGGAGUAGAGUAGCAUAAAGUAAAGUAGUAGAAGUGCUAUCAACCUCGGCCAGAGAUCCUUUCUCGACUCCCUGCGAGAAAGCAAUCCCAGAGCCAUACUAACCAUUUCUCAUCACAAUCCAAUUCUCAUCACAAGUAUCCAGUUCUAGUUGUAUUGAUCGGGAUACAACUCCAAGUGUCCGUUACCAUAGGACAUGCUAUCGAUAGAUGUUUUCUUCCCUGCAGGGGUGCACCAACUUACCCACCACGCUCGAUUAACUCCGGCCAGACACACUUUCCUGGGUCAUGCCCGGCCUCGGCCAAACAAUACGCCGCAACCCGACCUAGGCUUAAUAGAGAGGUCAAGCACGCCAGACUAAACCUAUGCCCCCAGGGGUCAUGGGACAUUGCCCCGGGAACUCCUGCACGUUGCGAACGUGGCUGGUGAGCGGACCUAGCUACCUCCUUAAAAAAGGCAGGUGCUUACCAGUCCAACCCGGUGCGCCGCUUAGUCGCUGACGUCUAUUAAGCUUCGGCUGAUGCAUAUGACGCAGAACGCCCAUACUAUGCCCACGUGAUGGUUAGUGCUAUCAGGCCAGAGGCCCCUCGGAUCAAAUAUCCAAAUCGUAGUGGAUUAGGAACGCGCGGUAACAAGAAGAGACUCACGAAAGAUGUGACCCCGUUGCCCCGUCUCGAGGACUUGCGGCAAGGGCUAGGAAUGCCCGGCCACGCCUCGUAAUUAUCUCACGGGCACCCUCCAGGGCAACCCGUCUCCACAUCACUCGCGGGUACCCCUCAGGGUCGACCCGCCUUUCCAAGUAACAGUGGUAAAGUCCAAGUAUCCGUGUGUCCAAAUAUCAAUGGAAAACCCGAGGAACCACCCCCGGUGAAUUCCACUCGAUGUAAUCAUCAAGGUGAACGUAAGAGGAACCACCCCCGAGGUUCACACUUGAGGGGUUGCACGACAGAGUCGUAUCGGAAGUGGUUAAGGCGGAAUCACCCUCGAUGACCACGACCGAAUAGCUACACUACAGGAUUAACAUCAGAAGUGCUGUAGAGGUCACACCCUCGGCACUCGAUAGUAACCCAGUAGUGUCGAGCAACUAAGGGGAAAGUGAUGUGCGGUGCCAGGGCCUGGUCUUCGAUCCCGUUGAUCGGGUCUUCAAUGAUGAAGCAGGGGCAACAAGGACAAGGUGGGGGUCACUGAUGGAUCACUAACCAACAUAUACUAAGCAGUUUAGGAUAAGCAGGUAGGUAACAAUAAGCAGGUUACAAAAGCAGGCUAUGCAUCAGAAUAUGAUCAAACAAUAACAGUAGCAAAAUCUAAUGCAAGCAUGAGAGAAUGGAAUGGGCGAUAUCGGGAUGAUCAAAGGGGGGGCUUGCCUGGAAGCUCCGCUGAAAGGGAAGAAGGGUCGUCGGUGACGUAGACAAUCACAGUGGCACCGACAGCGGUCUCGGGGUCUACUAGAGAGAAGAGGGAGAAGAAACAAUAAAUAUGAAGCAAACAUAGCAUCCCAAUUCAUAACAUGGCAACACGCGGUGCUAAAGGUGACCGAACGCCGUACUACACGUUGGAGACGGAGAGGGAACACAUCCGGAGAGGCUUUCCCGGCAUUUGGUAUUUUCCGGACAGAUGAAAAGAGGGGGACGGUUCCAUGUUCAGCAUGCUAGGGGCAUGUGAUAGAUGAACGAACCGCGUAUUCGGAUUCGUUGGAUUUUUCUGAGCAACUUUCAUAUAGAAAACAUUUUCAUCCGAGUUACGGUUAUUUUUAUAUGAUUUUUCAAAGUUUUAAACAUUUCGGGAAUUAAUUAAUAAUUAAACUCGAAUUUAAGCAAAAAUGCAGAAUAGGCUGGGUGCACCCGGUGCAGUGCACCCAGAGUCGCGCUAGUGGCUGACAGCGGGGCCAGUCAACUGCCCAGUCAACAGUUGACUCAUCAGUUUGACUAGUCAAAGAGGGUCUAGUGGGACCCGCAUGUCAUUGUUUCUGACUCUAGUAGGUUAGGUAAUUUUGUUUAAUUAACAGCGGGGCCCAUUUGUCAUUGAGUUAGUAGUCUAACUAAUGUAGACAAUUAAGUUAAUUACCCUAAUUAGUGGGAGGGGUUAUGCUAAUGGGGGAGUUAGCAUCCCCCAAAUUAAGCAGGGCCGGCCAGAGUAGGCAACGGCCAGGCGGCCAGUGGGGAAGCACGCACGCACGCGCGUAGAUGAAGGAACCCAGCCCGGCCGGUGGCGAGCAGCGGCGGGGGCGCCAGCCGGUGGAUAGAGGUGCGGGAAGCGCCCGCCGGCGCGGCCCCGGCUCGGCCAAGCGCGGCCGGGCGCGACCAAGUGAGCAACGCAGGCAAGGCGGCUGGAGGCGGGCGUAGGCAGCGGCGGGCUGCAGCAGCGCUCGGGCGCCGGCCGGAGGCAAGCUACCGCGGGCGGCAGCGGCGUAGGUAGGGGAGCAGCGACCAGCAGUCGGGAAGCAACAGCGGCAAGUAGUAGCAGCGCAGCAGCGGCAAAUAGCAGCAGCAAACAGCGGUAGCAGCAGGCAGUACGCGGCGUAGCUAGGAGCGGCAACAGUAGCACACGAACAACAACAACAGCAGGGCGGGUGGCAGCAACAAAGGCGGGUGCGCACGGAGGGGAAGCAGGGCGCGACCAGCAUGGGCGGGCUCGCGGCCAGGGGGACAGGCGGACGAGCCCCGGCCGCGCAUGCGAAACAGGCGGGGACGCGGUGAGGGCAGCAAUGUGUUCGGGCGACGGCGGGGACGACGGCGGAAUGGACAAGAUUCAAGAGGGAGAGGAGAGGAAUCAGACGGGGGCUCACCGAGGAGUGCAGGGGCGAGGUCGGGGCGGCCGGGGCUGGUCGGGGAUGCGCAGGUCAACGACGAGAUGCAGCGACCGUGGCGGAGAUGCACGAGGCUAGUGACGGCGAGACAACGUUUUGGCCUCCAUCCAGAGGCAGGGACGAUGUAGACGAAGACGACGAGGCCGAUGGUCAAGCUCCUAGGCGCCCGGGUCAACUGUGGCCACGAGCUUCACAACGGUGCGGCCAUGGGGGUCGCAGACGACGGUGCGGCCAUGGGGGUCGCAGACGACGGUGGGUGUGAACGGGCAGAGGGAGAUGGGGGCAAGUGAGGGGAAAGUGGGUGUGCUAGGGUUCGCAAGAUGGGAGGUCGAUGGCGUCUUAUCUAUCGGGGGGAACGUGGGAUGGCCGACACGCAUGCCUAGCGGUGGCCAUGGUGGCUGGAUGUGUGCCACGACCUCGGUCUUGUACAGGGAAAGGGGAUGACCCCCAUUGGGCUGGGCCAGUGCAUUGUAGCGGUUGGGCCAAAAUGAAAAUGAGACUUUUCUUGUGCCUGUUUUGUAUUUUCUCAGACGUUUUAUAUUUUAGUUAGUAAAAUGACUUUUCUUGUACAUGAAACUUCACAAAUAAAUUACACACAAUAAUUCUAGACCACACACAAAGUUUCACAACGUUUGGAAAAGCAUAAAUAUUUGUUUUAUUUUGAAAAGGCCAAAAUAUUUGCUGAUGGGCCAUUUAUUAAUUUCCUAGGGCAUUUUGGGAAUUCAGAAGAGGUUGGUUUCAACAUGACAAAUGAUCAGGGGAAUUCUUAGAAUAAUGCAAACAUUUUAUUAUGCAUAUUUGAGAAGUUUGAAAUUUGAAUUUAAAAUUUGGACUGGAUUUGAAUCAAAGUGAUAUUAGCAACAGUAACAAUGAUGACAAGGCAUCAUUAGAAGGGGAUUACUGUAGCUGAACUAUCGGGGUGUUACAAAUCUCCUCCACUACAAGAAAUCACGUCCCGAGAUUUAAGUGGGGAAGUAAAGAGUAACUUCAGGUGAACUGACCCUUACAGGGUCAAUUGUCUGGUGAACAAUGCAGGGAAUGUGACAGAAGUAUCUCUCGAGUUGAAAUUAAGAAAAUGUCGAGAGCAAAAUAUGAAGGUACCAUGAGAAGUUUUAACGGGCAGGCAAUCAUUCAAUGCCUAAUCAAAAGGUGAAUGGGGGUCAGAGCAAAAACAACAAAAAUUAUUGCGUCUGAUACUAGAAUAGAUCACUAGGAAGGUGGCUCAUGAAUUACAUACGAAGGCAAGUGAAAAAGGAUACUUCGGAAUCAAGGAUGUACAGGAGUCAGGUUUAGAUCCUGUGGAACUGUGGGUUAUGAGCCCACCAUGUGGUUCAAAAGUAGGAAGGAUGCUAACAUGUUGCACGAUCAUGGUAGCAAGGCACGGUAGAGGAUAGCGUGUCAGUUAUGUUGGCAACAAUGUUGGUACCAAGGGCGAGGGACGAAGAGAACCAUUUUCCUGCUUGUUGAAUGAGGCGGACCAAUAGGCAAAGUUCUCGUCCAUCGGGGGUUACCAGGAUGUCGUCAGCAAUAGUAACAGGGUCACACUGACAGAGUUGUAAACCAAGGUGUUUCCAUAAGCAGGGAAUUAUUUCUGCUUAUAACAUAUAUAGAUCACAAGAAAGGUUAAGCAAACCAAUGGAAAGGAAAAUGCGUUUAUACACAAAAUUUAGGAGUGUAACUUUUCCCAAGGAAAAGUAGAGCAUGAUAUACAUGUUAGAUCAACAAGUACAUCACCAUUUGGAUAAAGGGGCAAGGGAAUUCAUGAUGUUAUCAAUACAACGGUGUUUGGAUAAUAGAGCAAGAAACAUUUGGCAAUGCACUUCCAAUGUUCUUGUUGUUGUUCGGCGUACCACAGUCAUGCUUCGAGGUAACAUUAACAUGGUGUUUCAAGCAAGAUUGAAUCUGCAGGUCACAAGAAGUACAAAGGAACAAUUCCAAGAAUGCCAAGGAAUGUAAGAUAUAAUCAAAACAUGACCAAGUCUAUAUUGGCAGGAAGUCAAGGAUGGUGUCGAUGACAACACAAAUCAUCGAUGGGCAGGGAUGGUAUUUCUCCUCAAGAAUUCGAUUGAUAUCUUAGAACAAGGCAGUAUAUUGAUGGUGAUCAUGACCAAUUUGUCAAGAGGCUCUAUGAAGAUGCCAUCGAGCAGCAACGACAUCAAGCAAAAGGAAUGAUGAAGCAAAGGCUAUUGGAACCACGCAUAUGACACAAGCUCGGAUUCAAGCUUGUUGUUCAAGGUGGAAUGAUAAGAUGAGGAAGAUCGACGUAAGCUUCGCUCAUCGUCGAAAAGUUGUCCUCCGGGAAUAAGGACCAGGUAGCACAGUUAAAAUUUAGCACGAUAAUGAUAUAGCUAAUCAGGCUAGGAAGGACUUGAAGGAUUAUUAAACUCGUAAGCAACAAAAUUACUUAGAGUUGUUGAAUUCAAAGAGCGGAACCGAUUCACUCAUUGGUGUUCUUGAGUGACUAAUAACUCAGAACCCGGGGAAAAUUGGAAUCGAUGAGAAGCACUACUAGAAGAAGACUCACAGGAAGCAACACAGAUGUUAGAUAUUCUCGAGAUACCAGAGGGUAAUACUCGAAGGUAGAGUAGAAUAGAUGCUUGACAGGUGAAACGAUCUGCAGAAGACAAGUACUUUAACUUGUUUGAGAAAUGGGAUCAAAGAAGAACAAUAUGGCUAGAACCAUGAUUGCAAAAGAUCAAAUCCCAGAGACCGGAUGAUAUUAUAUCAAGGAAGUUAUUAUUACAAGAAGCUUACAUGAUAGGAUCUACAUCGUGUCCAUGGGCAUGAACAAAAGUUCAAGGCCGACUCCCACUCUUCAAUGCAUAACCUCUCAUUCACUUCUCGCCUUCGAUGGAGUUGUAAUGUUGAAAGUUAUUUGACAAAACACCAGAAGAGUAAGACUCGUUAAAAAUCUCGGGUUCAAACGGAUUAGGGGAGGCAUAGGUUCGACCCAUAGAGGUAUCUUAGGAACCUAUUCCACAAACUUAAGAAGUAAACAACACAAGCUCGCAGAGCAUGGUUGACAAAAGGAGAGGAUACAAUUUACCAAAGGCAUUAUGUAUCUCGGAAAGGACUUCACGAGGUUCUUUGAAUAUGAAGGACACUGUCGGAUGAUAAUCCAAUAAUGGAUUUGGCGGACCGCAAGGAAUCCGAUGUGAGUGUCGAUGUUCAACGAAAAGAAGAAAUAACGCAAUGGCAUCGGAUUAUAGGGACAUCUGGAUAAUUUCAAAGCUUAAAUACAAAGGAAUUAUGAUUUCCAUAUCGGGGGGAUCAAAAGCAGAGGCUCUGAUCAAUAGAUAAGUAAGUUGAAUAAACAUAUAUCGACAAUCAAUCUAGGUUUGAUUUGCCGAGAACCAGCCCAUGUCCAAAGUGACGUCUGAGCCAAAAGGACGAACUCUAGUUUUGAGUGAGGAUUGCGAGCAUCUGCAACAUAUUGAAUCGACGGACUCAAAAUGCUAGUGACAAAGGAUGCCAAUAAGAUUACUAGACUUAUGGGAUUAACCAUAAUGCAAGCAAGCAAGAAUUUCAACAACAAUAGGCUACUGAGGAUUUUCGGAAGAUCAAAUGGUAUUUCGAAGACUUUUGUGAAACAGAUGAACAACUGGGGAUGAGCGGGUACAAGAUAAGUGCGAGGAAUUAUCGGAAGGGGUAUUCAUGUGGCAAAGAACUGCAAGGCAGUAGACACAGUAUUCUCGGAACAAUAGAGAGAAUUUUGGGGUAUCUUGUAAUAACAAGAUCAACGAGGAAUGAUUGUAUGAAUGGCAAGCGUACGCGGUUAUUCACAGGGGUUUAUCGAUGGAAGGGAAUUGCGAAAGCAUUGGCACAAAGUCUCGAGAUAACAACACAGAGUAUCUUCAAAAUCUUCUAGUGAAGCAAGCGAUCAUCUGGAAUGAGGGGCUCUCCGGGAGGAAGUAUUUACGAGAACCUAAGGUUAGAGUUUGCAAAAUCAUUUAACCUAAGUAGAAGAGAGAUCAGAGUCCCAGAGUAUAGAUGAGGAGUAAAAGAUCCUAAUACCACCCAAUGGCUACGUGGGCCCGUAAGACACACAGCCAAUGUUAGUAAAAGUUUUUCAGUGACUAGACUCAACUUCGGCCAAGGAGUUGAAAAGGGGGCUACCUACAGGCAGUCGGCUCUGAUACCAACUUAUGAUGCCCUCGAUUCAAUCGUACACUAAUCAUACACGCAAAUGUGUACGAUCAAGAUCAAGGACUCACGGGAAGAUAUCACAACACAACUCUAGACACAAAUUAAAAUAAUACAAGCUUUAUAUUACAAGCCAAGGGCCUCGAGGGCUCGAAUACAUAAGCUCGAAUACACAAGAGUCAGCGGAAGCAACAAUAUCUGAGUACAUACAUGAGUUAGACAAGUUUGCCUUAAGAAGGCUAGCACAAAAGUAGCAACGAUCGAAAAGGCAAGGCCUCCUGCCGGGGAGCCCCCUAACUACUCCUGGUCGUCGGCGGUCUCCACGUAGUAGUAGGCAUCGACAGUGGCAUCUGGCUCCUCGGCUCCGACAACUGGUUGUAUCAACCGGAAAGAAGAAGAAAGGGGGGAAAGGGGGAGCAAAGCAACCGUGAGUACUCAUCCAAAGUACUCGCAAGCAAGGAUCUACACUACAUAUGCAACAUUAUCACAGGAAGGCUACAUGUGGACUGGGUUGCAGAAAUGCCAGAAUAGAGGGGGGAGCCUAGUCCUAUCGAAGACUAGCAUCUUCUGGAAACCACCAUCUUGCAGCAACAGGAGGGAGUAGAGUAGCAUAAAGUAAAGUAGUAGAAGUGUUAUCAACCUCGGCCAGAGAUCCUUUCUCGACUCCCUGCGAGAAAGCAAUCCCAGAGCCAUACUAACCAUUUCUCAUCACAAUCCAAUUCUCAUCACAAGUAUCCAAUUCUAGUUGUAUCGAUCGGGAUACAACUCCAAGUGUCCGUUACCGUAGGACAGGCUAUCGAUAGAUGUUUUCUUCCCUGCAGGGGUGCACCAACUUACCCACCACACUCGAUUGACUCCGGCUGGACACACUUUCCUGGGUCAUGCCCGGCCUCGGCCAAACAAUACACCGCAACCCGACCUAGGCUUAAUAGAGAGGUCAAGCACGCCAGACUAAACCUAUGCCCCCAGGGGUCAUGGUCCAUCCCCCCGGGAACUCCUGCACGUUGCGAACGCGGCCGGUGAGUAGACCUAGCUACCUCCUUAAAAAAGGCAGGUGCUUACCAGUCCAACCCGGCGCGCGCCGCUUAGUCGCUGACGUCUAUUAAGCUUCGGCAGAUGCAUACGACGCAGAACGCCUAUACUAUGCCCAUGUGAUGGUUAGUGCUAUCAGGCCAGAGGCCCCUCGGAUCAAAUAUCCAAAUCAUAGUGGAUUAGGAACGCGCGGUAACAAGCAGAGACUCACGAAAGAUGUGACCCCGUUGCCCCAUCUCGAUGACUUGCGGCAAGGGCUAGGAAUGCCCGACCACGCCUCAUAAUUAUCUCGCGGGCACCCUCCAGGUCAACCCGUCUCCACAUCACUCGCGGGUACCCCUCAGGGUCGACCCGCCUUUCCAAGUAACAGUGUUAAAGUCCAAGUAUUCGUGUGUCCAAAUAUCAAGGGAAAACCCGAGGAAUCACCCCCGGUGAAUUCCACUCGAUGUAAUCAUCAAGGUGAACGUAAGAGGAACCACCCCCGAGGUUCACACUUGAGGGGUUGCACGACAGAGUCGUAUCGGAAGUGGUUAAGGCAGAAUGACCCUCGAUGACCACGACCGAAUAGCUACACUUCAGGAUUAACAUCAGAAGUGCUGUAGAGGUCUCACCUUCGGCACUCGAUAGUAACCCAGUAGUGUUGAGCAACUAAGGGGAAAGUGAUGUGCGGUGCCGGGGCCUGGUCUUCGAUCCCGUUGAUAGGGUCUUCUAUAAUGAAUCAGGGGCAACAAGGACAAGGUGGGGGUCACUGAUGGAUCACUAACCAACAUAUACUAAGCAGUUUAGGAUAAGCAGGUAGGUAACAAUAAGCAGGUUACAAAAGCAGGCUAUGCAUCAGAAUAUGAGCAAACAAUAACAAUAGCAAAAUCUAAUGCAAGCAUGAGAGACUGGAAUGGGCGAUAUCGGGAUGAUCAAAGGGGGGCUUCCCUGGAAGCUCCGCUGAAAGGGAAGAAGGGUCGUCGGUGACGUAGACGAUCAUAGUGACACCGACAGCGGUCUUGGGGUCUACCGAAGAGAAGAGGGGGAAGAAACAAUAAAUAUAAAGCAAACAUAGCAUCCCAAUUCAUAACAUGGCAACACGCGGUGCUAAAGGUGACCGAACGCAGUACUACACGUUGGAGACGGAGAGGGAAGACAUCCGGAGAAGCUUUCCCGGCGUUUGUUAUUUUUCGAACAGAUGAAAAGAGGGAGACGGUUCCAUGUUCAGCAUGCUAGGGGCAUGUGACAGAUGAACGGGCCGCGAAUUCGGAUUUGUUGGAUUUGUCUGAGCAACUUUCAUAUAGAAAACAUUUUCAUCCGAGUUACGGUUAUUUUUAUAUGAUUUUUCAAAGUUUUAAACAUUUCUGGAAUUAAUUAAUAAUUAAACUCGAAUUUAAGUAAAAAGGCAGAAUAGGCUGGGUGCACCCGGUGCAGUGCACCCAGAGUCGCGCUAGUGGCUGACAGCAGGGCCAGUCAACUGCCCAGUCAACAGUUGACUGGUCAGUUUGACUAGUCAAAGAGGGUCUAGUGGAACCCGCAUGUCAUUGUCUCUGACUCUAGUAGGUUAGGUAAUUUUGUUUAAUUAACAGCGGGGCCCAUCUGUCAUUGAGUUAGUAGUCUAACUAAUGUAGAAAAUUAAGUUAAUUACCCUAAUUAGUGAGAGGCGUUAUGCUAAUGGGGGAGUUAGCAUCCCCCAAAUUAAGCAGGGCCGGCCUGAGUAGGCAACGACCAGGCGGCCAGCGGGGAAGCACGCACGCACGCGCGUGGGCGGAGGAACCCAGCCCGGCCGGCGGCGAGCAGCGGCGGGGGCNNNNNNNNNNNNNNNNNNNNNNNNNNNNNNNNNNNNNNNNNNNNNNNNNNNNNNNNNNNNNNNNNNNNNNNNNNNNNNNNNNNNNNNNNNNNNNNNNNNNNNNNNNNNNNNNNNNNNNNNNNNNNNNNNNNNNNNNNNNNNNNNNNNNNNNNNNNNNNNNNNNNNNNNNNNNNNNNNNNNNNNNNNNNNNNNNNNNNNNNNNNNNNNNNNNNNNNNNNNNNNNNNNNNNNNNNNNNNNNNNNNNNNNNNNNNNNNNNNNNNNNNNNNNNNNNNNNNNNNNNNNNNNNNNNNNNNNNNNNNNNNNNNNNNNNNNNNNNNNNNNNNNNNNNNNNNNNNNNNNNNNNNNNNNNNNNNNNNNNNNNNNNNNNNNNNNNNNNNNNNNNNNNNNNNNNNNNNNNNNNNCGGCCGCCGGCGCGGCCCCGACUCGGCCAAGCGUGGCCUCCGGCGCGGCCGGGCGCGACCAAGUGAGCAACACAGGCAGGGCGGUUGGAGGCGGGCGUAGGCAGCGGCGGGCUGCAGCACCGCUCGGGCGCCGGCCGGAGGCAAGCGGCCGCGGGCGGUAGCGGCGUAGGUAGGGGAGCAGCGACCAGCAGUCGGGAAGCAACAGCGGCAAGUAGCAGCAGCAAACAGCGGUAGCAGCAGGCAGUACACGGCAUAGCUAGGAGCGGCAGCAGUAGCACACGAACAACAACAGCAGGGCGGGUGGCAGCGACAAAGGCGGGUGCGCGCGGAGGGGAAGCAGGGCGCGACCAGCAUGAGCGGGCUCGCGGCCAGGGGCAGGGGCGGACGAGCCCCGGGCGCGCACGCGAAACAGGCGGGGACGCGGCAAGGGCAGCAACGGGUUCGGGCGACGGCGGGGACGAUGGCGGAAUGGACAAGAUUCAAGAGGGAGAGGAGAGGAAUCGGACGGGGGCUCACCAAGGAGUGCAUGGGCGAGGUCGGGGUGGCCGGGGCUGGUCGGGGAUGCGCAGGUCA